rnacentral:misc_RNA from 1 species
AGACUCUGAGGACAAAGUA